CUCGCCACGGCGCUGUGAACACACGGCUUUGUGUUCUCUUUAAUAAUUUGUUUUUGCGCACGCUGCAUUUCCAUAAAGAUGUUAUACGAAGACUUGUACAGUGACUUUCAAGCUGCAAUUACAUCCUUUACUGUCUACUGGAGAAGAGAUCUUAACCACUUCAGACGAAGCCGUUUCGGGCCGUGGCUUUUGAUAUAUUAUGUCCAACGAUGCAGCUUGGGAAACUUUCCACGCGGCGUGUGGUACAAGAAUUAAUGCGUGUGAUGUUCACAUUUUAUUUGUAAGGAAAAUAUUUUGUAAAACUAUAAGAAAUGAAAUAUUUGGUUUAAUCAUCAUUAUAAUGAUAUUGUGGGCGUUGAGAGGUUAAAAUAAACUUUUAAUACCUAAAUAUUAAAGGUUGGUCGUCAGUAAAAAUUCAUCAGUAGGUACCUUUUUACCUUUGUACCUAUAUUAAUUCUAAAAGUAAAGUAUUCAAUGCAAAAGCACAGACAUCACAUUUUAACAUUAAUAGGUAUAUUAUACAUGGAAUUUUUGUAUGAAAAUUAAAGCUACUUACCCCAAAAAUAAAUAAAUUUAUGAGUCAAUUUCAUUAGGUCCAAGUGAACAUAACCAAUAAAGUUUAUGUAGUUACGUACUUUACUGUACCAGGUGCAGAGUACGCUCGUUUGUUCAAGCCUAAUAUAAAAAACUUAGUUUGUCUAUGUGAGUUUCAUAUAGGGCAGUUGAGAGACCAGCUGUGGCGGAGUUAUUACGGGCUUUUAACUUUCAAGUAACACAAGGUUUCAGGCAGUUCAUUGGUUAACUAUGUGUAUCAUCUAAA